GACGAACGCUGGCGGCGUGCUUAACACAUGCAAGUCGAACGGAAAGGCCCCUUUGGGGGUACUCGAGUGGCGAACGGGUGAGUAACACGUGAGUAACCUGCCCUUGACUUCGGGAUAACUUCAGGAAACUGGGGCUAAUACCGGAUAGGAAUCCUUGCUGCAUGGUGGGGGUUGGAAAGCUUCGGCGGUUUUGGAUGGACUCGCGGCUUAUCAGCUUGUUGGUGGGUUAGUGGCUUACCAAGGCUUUGACGGGUAGCCGGCCUGAGAGGGCGACCGGCCACAUUGGGACUGAGAUACGGCCCAGACUCCUACGGGAGGCAGCAGUGGGGAAUAUUGCACAAUGGGCGGAAGCCUGAUGCAGCAACGCCGCGUGCGGGAUGACGGCCUUCGGGUUGUAAACCGCUUUCAGCAGGGGCGAAGCUUGUGGUGACGGUACCUGCAGAAGAAGCACCGGCUAACUACGUG
rnacentral:rRNA from 1 species